GACGAACGCUGGCGGCGUGCCUAAUACAUGCAAGUCGAACGAACCGCGACUAGGUGCUUGCACUUGGUCAAGGUGAGUGGCGAACGGGUGAGUAACACGUGGGUAACCUACCUCAUAGUGGGGGAUAACAGUCGGAAACGACUGCUAAUACCGCAUAGGACAUAGGAUCACAUGAUCCAGUGAGGAAAGGUGGCGCAAGCUAUCGCUAAGAGAUGGACCCGCGGUGCAUUAGCUAGUUGGUAGGGUAAAGGCCUACCAAGGCGAUGAUGCAUAGCCGACCUGAGAGGGUGAUCGGCCGCAUUGGGACUGAGACACGGCCCAAACUCCUACGGGAGGCAGCAGUAGGGAAUCUUCCGCAAUGGACGCAAGUCUGACGGAGCAACGCCGCGUGAGUGAAGAAGGUCUUCGGAUCGUAAAGCUCUGUUGUUAGGGAAGAACAGCGCAUAGAGUAACUGUUAUGCGUGUGACGGUAUCUAACCAGAAAGCCACGGCUAACUACGUG
rnacentral:rRNA from 1 species